UCAUCAUCAUCUUCAUCAUCAUGGUCAUCAUCAUCUUCAUCAUGCAGCUGUCCUUAGACGGGAUGGAUUAUCCUGGAGGUUAAAUCAGUUAAUGUGUGGACAACACAUGGAGAGGGAGAUAACAAAGACUCCAAUUACAGUCAAUGCACUUCAAUGCGCUCCAGAUUUACCGGGCUCUGAAUCAGUCCUCAACCCGAGCGUCCAGAUGCAGGCCAGCCUUUUAGAUGUCAUCUCACCAAUGGCACAUGUGGCCUCUCAGCAGAAAAUAAUAGUAUGGAGUAUCCAGAGUGUUGUCUCCUCCUUUGACACAACAGUGCACACACACAUCAGGGGCCUCGCAGGCCACGCUGGCUGCCUGCACCUCUCCCCUUGUCACUGCUGAUGAGGCCCCAGCUGCGGGAGUCGACCAGCAGGCACGUGAGUAAGGGCAGCCAGGCGCGAGGGAAGAGGCAUGUACAGCCAACCAGGCCGAUGAUGAGAGUGUCUAAUGACUCCGACAUGGGUGGCAACACAGCUGCUCAAAGCACCUGCCAGGGCUCAGACACCCAUACUGCAAAUGCAACCAGUGUCUUGCAAAUGUUUCCAGGCAUUUUAUGGUGGCUGACUACGUGGUCACAGAGAGGAAAAGAACUCAUAAUGUUUCUGCUGUGUGACAAAAAAAAAGUAUUUUAGAUCACUCUUCCAAAAUUAUAUAAAAAAAAGAUCUAUACAAUGGUAUUUCAUCAAAAUGUAAUGGAUUUCAAGUUGUACUAAUAUAGCCACAGAAAUAAGGAUUUGUAAAAGGAGGGUUUAUCACCAACGCUACUGUUUUUCUAAAUGGAGAACUGACUCACUGAAUGGACUGUAGACAUUAACUAUAACCAAGAGACAAGCCAUACAAAAGUGAUCCAUGAAGUAGACUUGGUUGUAGUUAUCACACAACAAUAAAUGUGUUAUUAAAUGUGUUGUUACUUGUACAAUGUACUUGUACAAUGACUAUGUACAGGCUACAUGCAGAAAUGUUUAUCUUUAGCUGUAGGCCAUAAAAGUUGUAUUUAACCUUACAAACUGGCAAAGAGCCCCAUUACUGUAAUACAUAAACAAGAAAACUCAUUUUCAGGCUUAGCAUUACUUCAUAGUUCACACUAGUUAUACAAUUCAGGCUUGUGGAGCCUCUGCAGGCAGCGAUGCUGUGUGAACUGCACAGUGAUUCUCAUUGCUGUUGCAUGUCCUUUAUAAUACUCCACCAUGCAUUGCUGUUCAAUGACUUCCCCCACUCGGGUCACUAGUCAACUAGGACAUUACUUCCCAAGUCACUUCAAGACCAUUGCAUCCACUGUUGGCUGAACUUACCAAAUUAGUCUUUGGAUUAUAACUUGUGAUUCUUUGCCUAUGUUUAUCUUAAAAGACAAAUAAACUGCCCAUGUCUGCC
ensembl:lncRNA